GCAGGUCCCUUGUUCUCUCUCUCUUUCACACCCCUUCUGCACAAAGGUUCCUGCAAAUCAAACAAGAAAUGGUUAAAAAAAAUUGAUGAUUUACACAAUAAAUUGUU